UCGUCUAUAUGUCAUCCGAAUUAUAUUUCUUGGUGUAUUUCAUACAGUAGGGAACCUCCUGAUCCAACAAGUUGAAUAAUGUACAUUGUAUCUUUUAAAUUCCAAAACCACGAAUUAAAGCAUAUCAAUGUCCAUGUAAUCCUGAUUAUCAUUGUUUUUCUAGUUUCCUUAAUUAGAAAGUAGUUAACUGGUUAUAAAUGUAG
rnacentral:lncRNA from 1 species